CUCCGACCCCUAAAAAAAAAACUUCUCCACGACAUUCGAUCCCCACUCCCGCAUCGUUCGAUCCCCUCUCCCUCUCCCUCGCCGCCGCCGCCGCCGCCGUCCGGCGCGCCAGCAUCGCCGCCAUGCUCCGCCUCCGGGGCUGCAUCCUCCCCCGCCUCCUCUCAUCUCCCGCCACCCCCCUCCACCGCCUCCUCUCCGCGGCCGCGCCGGCCGUUUCUCCGAGCCCCAGCUUCGCCGUGGAGGAGUACCUCGUCUCCACCUGCGGCCUCACCCCAGCGCAGGCCCGCAAGGCCUCCCCCAAGCUCUCCCACCUCAAGUCCCCAUCCAAACCCGACGCCGUCCUCGCCUUCCUCUCCGGCCUCGGCCUCUCCGGCGCCGACGUCGCCGCCGUCGUCGCCAAGGACCCCAAGUUCCUCUGUGCCAGCGUGGAGAAAACCCUGGCCCCCGUCGUCGCUGGGCUCACCGGCCUGGGCUUCUCGCAUUCCGACAUGGCGCGCCUCGCCUCGCUCACCGGCGUCACUUUCCGCUGCAAGUCCAUCAUCGCCGGGCUGCGGUACUGCUUGCCCCUCUUCGGGUCCUCCGAGAACCUCCUUCAAGCCCUAGCUCCAGCGGGUGGCUCCGUUCUCGGGUCCGACCUCGAGCGGGUGGUCAAGCCCAACGUCUCCUUCCUGCUUGAGUGCGGGCUAGGUGCUUGCGAUAUUGCCAAGCUCUACGCAUAUACGCUGUCGCCGCUCAGCAUCAGCACGGAACGCAUCCGGACAGCAGUGGCAUGCGUCGAUGGUCUUGGUGUACCCCGUGGAUCUCCGAUGUUCAGACAUGCGCUACAAGUUGUUGCAUUCGUCAGCGAGGAGAAAAUCACCGCCAAAGUGGAGGGCUUUAAGAAAAAGUUCAGGUGGUCGGAUGCCGAGGUGGGCAUUGCUGUUUCUAAGGCUCCAUCGUUGCUGGUGAGGUCCGAGGACUUGCUGCAGAGCAAAUCGGAUUUCCUUAUCUCCGAGGUGGGACUGGAACCAGCAUACAUUGCUCACCGACCGAUAAUGCUCACUUACAGUCUAGAGGGCCGGCUCAGGCCCCGGUACUACGUCGUCAGAUUUCUCAAGGAAAAUGGAUUGCUAGAUCACGACCGGGACUACUAUGCUGCAGUCGUGAUCAGCGAGAAGGUAUUUGUCGAGAAGUUCAUAUGCCCUCAUAAGGAUGCUGCACCGCACCUCGCUGAAGAUUAUGCAACAGCUUGCAGAGGGGAGGUUCCAGCUAGAUUCAGUUUUACAUGAACCAAGACUAAUAAGAAAAUUGGCAUAUUUAUCCUUAGCAUAUUUGUUUAGGAUAGUAAAAUGGGUCUUAUGUACCGUCAUUUUCGCAAAUUUCUAUGUGAGAAGUCGAGGAAAAGGAAAAAAGCCGGAUGGGAUGCCAUGUUGUCUGGAAUCUUGCAGAAUUUCAAACAUAGGAAUUACGAUGCACCUUAGACUAUGAACCAACCUGUGAGGAUGGUGCACAUUUGUUUGUUCUUGAUGCGAGGUUGUGUAAGUUGGAAGAAAUGAGAUCUGAGGUGUAUGCUUGCAGUAAGGCAACGAGAUGUGAUUUAAAGACCGAAAUGAGAUCUGAGGUGUGUCCCUCUUCUCUGGUUGCUUGUUAAAAUUAUAGAAUCAAGAUUAGUGAAAUGUAGGUGAGGUGAAUAGGUUGAUGGAUGAAAUGACUUACCAUCAGGUGAGAAGGUGAAAAUGUGCUGAAACUGGAUGUAGAUGGUGCUUUCUUGUUCUGCCAGGAAAUGAGACGAAACAUACAUAAUUCUGAAGGGCUUUGUAGGUUGAUGAUGCCCUGAAGCUUCAUUGACAAGUGCCCUGAUGAUGGCGUGAGUUUUAUUCAGGGAAGCUCCUACUUUUCUCUUUUUUGAAUCUUGCAAAUUAAGUAAUCCUUCUGUUAUACUAUACAUUUGAAUAACGAAACUGUUUGGCACACGAUAUUUGAUGGCCGAUUUCCGCACGACCAAUGAAUCUACGGCCGUUGCCCUUUAACUCGCAUGCAUGUGCGGCUGGAUUUUCACUGUUGUGCAUGAAUCGUGUGAGUUUUGUCGUCUGUAUAGCACUGUUCUUUGAAUAAACUAGCAGCAUCUGAUGCUUUGAUCGA